UACGUAGGGUGCAAGCGUUGUCCGGAAUUAUUGGGCGUAAAGAGCUCGUAGGCGGUCUGUCGCGUCGGCUGUGAAAACCCGGAGCUCAACUCCGGGCCUGCAGUCGAUACGGGGCAGACUGGAGUUCGGCAGGGGAGACUGGAAUUCCUGGUGUAGCGGUGAAAUGCGCAGAUAUCAGGAGGAACACCGGUGGCGAAGGCGGGUCUCUGGGCCGAUACUGACGCUGAGGAGCGAAAGCGUGGGGAGCGAACAGG
rnacentral:rRNA from 1 species